GAGAGAAAGAGGCGGCUCCUGGAAGGCCCGCCCCCAUACCGUGGACCCAGUUUGACCCCGGUGAAGGGGCGGAGGAGGAGCCUCGUGGCUCAUGGGCGGGGCCAUCCCUGUGUCUCGCGUUGUCCCCUGCCGGCUCCCGGGCUCGGCCCCCCGCGGGGAGUCGGAGGAGGGGUGGGGCGAGGGCGGGUCCGGCGGGUCUGGGGGCGGGACUCGGGGCGGGGGAGGUGUCAGUCUCGCGCUGGCUGCCGCCGCCGCCGCCGCCGCUGCCGCCACCGCGGCUCCUCCUUGCUCCCUCACUCACAUGCUGGCGGUGCCAGUGGCCCCGGUGGCUGCCAGCCCGCCAGUCCGUCCAACCUCCCACCCGCUGCCAGUUCCCAGCCUUGGGCAUGCAGACAGCCCGCUGUUUCCUCGCCCAGGUGAGAAAGCCAAAGCCCUUGGAGAAUUAUGCCAGCUGUUGAGGAUGUGGGCAAAGGAUGAAAAAUUAUUUAGAGCUGGAAAGGACCCUAGAAGUCAAGCCCAAUCCUUUCGUUGUACAGAUGGGGACACUGAGGCCCAGGGAGUCAGAAUGACCCACCCAGAGUCACACAGGUUGUGUCUGAGAACCGUUGACUGCAACAAGGAUGGCUGGUUAAGUAAAGGAAAUUACCCUUAUGGGGCUAUGUCUGACACUAAAUGCCUCAUAUUGCAUCAAUAG
rnacentral:lncRNA from 1 species